ensembl:lncRNA
CACUAACCAUGUGACUCCAUAACUGUCAGUUUAUCCCUUCACGACUUUCUCGAGGUAGGGGACUGACUGCCCUCCAGAUCUGGAUCCCUAGUGGCUGCCCAGCCCAGCGCCUGCCGCGGAGCCGUCUCCUGGUAAAUGGCGACAGAAUAAGCAGUAUGGCGCACACGUGGACUGCACGUUGUCAAUGCCGGGCACUGGCUUUAGACCUUCAGCAGGCAAGCCGCCCCCAAGAGCCAGGUAUUUCUGUUGUGCCCAUUUUAUAGAUGAGGAAAUGGAGGCAGUGGAAAGGUAAGUAACUUGCUGCGUUCACGUAAUGAUUGGCAGAGCCUGAAUUUGAAUCCAGGUAGAUCGGUUUCAGAACCCAUGCAAUCAAUCGCUGUGUGAGCCACUCAGUGAAAGAAUGAUUGAACGAAGGGAGGGAUGAAGGAAGAAAGGAAUGAACAGUUAAAUACAGGAGGGAGUAAAUGAAUGCCCGUGACCUGGCAUCGUGAGGCCAUGUCCAGCCUGCUGUGCAGACACCAAUCAACUGCUCUGUCAGUAGGAUGCCUUAGUCAUUUUCCACUUUGCACUAUUCUCAAAAUUGUAGUCAGUGCUUAAGAAGGAACCAAAAUCUUAGCUCCUAAAGAAAAGGAUAGUGUAAGAUAAUUAAAUAGAGCAUUUAGGAGUCCCACUACGGGAUCAGAGACAGAGGGGGGAUUUUAAGGGAGUUUGGGAGACUGUUGUAGGCCAAUGACUACUCAGGAAAAGAAUCCAGUAACCUAGCAACAGUUUACACUACUCUGAAGGAAGACCAGGUGCAUCUAAGCGCCAGGCACACUCAGGCCACAAGCCCUGAUUGGUAAAGCACAGGACAGUAGAUAUGGGGUCUGAAUCUUGUUACAUGAAGCCAGGGAGUUAAUGGUCCUUGAAAAGCAGCAUUUCUGCAUAUAGUUAAUACAGGAAUACAGGAAAAGGGCGUCACAGUGAGAACCAGCGGCUGGAAGUCAGACACGCCGGGUGCUGUCUCUCGCUACCCUCUCGGUCCGCAUCACCUCCACCCAACAGAAGAGGAUGCUGAGGCUCAGAAGCUGUGACAUCCACUCACACAGCACGGCAGUGAUGCUGCAUGCCAGCAAACCCCAGCUCUCCCUGCCCCCGCCUUGCUGCUCUUCCCUGCACAGGGCUGUAAAAUAAUGACACAAAGGCGGACUCUGUCCCGGGAGCGGGUCUGUGUGGUCCUGUCCCCACACCACACCUCCUCCGCCCCCUCCUCUCCCUGGCUGACUCCUCGCCGUCCUUGGACACCAGCUUGAGGGCCCUCGCCUGCAGGCAGUCUGCCUGAUCUCCAGCCUGUUUCAGAAGCCCCGGGGCCUGUGCUUGGGCAACGAGGGUUCUUACGCUUUAGGUUGUAGCAGGCCCUUGUCAGUCUCCCCCUGCACUAGGGCACCCAGGGGCCAAGAACUGAUGGCCCCCCCGCCAGAAAAAAA